GUGGGGAAUAUUGGACAAUGGGCGCAAGCCUGAUCCAGCCAUACCGCGUGGGUGAAGAAGGCCUUCGGGUUGUAAAGCCCUUUUGUUGGGAAAGAAAUCCUGUCGGUUAAUACCUGGCGGGGAUGACGGUACCCAAAGAAUAAGCACCGGCUAACUUCGUGCCAGCAGCCGCGGUAAUACGAAGGGUGCAAGCGUUACUCGGAAUUACUGGGCGUAAAGCGUGCGUAGGUGGUGGUUUAAGUCCGUUGUGAAAGGCCUGGGCUCAACCUGGGAAUUGCAGUGGAUACUGGAUCACUAGAGUGUGGUAGAGGGAUGCGGAAUUUCUGGUGUAGCAGUGAAAUGCGUAGAGAUCAGAAGGAACAUCCGUGGCGAAGGCGGCAUCCUGGGCCAACACUGACACUGAGGCACGAAAGCGUGGGGAGCAAACAGGAUUAGAUACCCCAGUAGUCC
rnacentral:rRNA from 1 species